UACGUAGGGCGCGAGCGUUGUCCGGAUUUAUUGGGCGUAAAGAGCUCGUAGGCGGCUUGUUGCGUCGUCCGUGAAAACCCGCAGCUCAACUGUGGACUUGCAGCUGAUACGGGCAGGCUUGAGUUCGGUAGGGGAGACUGGAAUUCCUGGCGUAGCGGUGAAAUGCGCAGAUAUCAGGAGGAACACCGGUGGCGAAGGCGGGUCUCUGGGCCGAUACUGACGCUGAGGAGCGAAAGCGUGGGGAGCGAACAGG
rnacentral:rRNA from 1 species